UACAGAGGUCCCGAGCGUUGUUCGGAUUCAUUGGGCGUAAAGGGUGCGUAGGCGGCGGGGUAAGUUUGAUGUGAAAUCCCGGGGCUCAACCCUGGAAUUGCAUUGAAUACUACCUUGCUAGAGUACCGGAGAGGAAACUGGAAUUUACGGUGUAGCAGUGAAAUGCGUAGAGAUGCGGAGGAACACCGAUGGCGAAGGCAGCCCCCUGGGCUGACACUGACGCUCAGGCACGAAAGCGUGGGGAGCAAACAGG
rnacentral:rRNA from 1 species